UACGUAGGGGGCGAGCGUUGUCCGGAAUCAUUGGGCGUAAAGCGCGUGUAGGCGGCUUGAUAAGUCUGGUGUGAAAUCUUGGGGCUCAACCCCAAGCCUGCACUGGAUACUGUCAAGCUUGAGUCCGGGAGGGGAGAGCGGAAUUCCUAGUGUAGCGGUGGAAUGCGCAGAUAUCAGGAAGAACACCCGUGGCGAAGGCGGCUCUCUGGGACGGUACUGACGCUGAGACGCGAAAGCGUGGGGAGCGAACAGG
rnacentral:rRNA from 1 species